GACCUGUGUCCCCCUCGGAAG
rnacentral:siRNA from 1 species